AUGUGCCCGCAGGUGAGGCUCUGUGAGGAACGGAAUGGCUGCAACCUCAUGCCGGCCCUUGACGGGACCACACGCCACUGCCGCCUGGUGACAUGCAGUGGGGUCCUUGAUGUGGCAGCGAAGCCUCCAUGGAAGCAGCGAGCUGACAGAGCUUGCACGAAUGGGCACGGGAGAGAACGCAGAGCCGGCCUACCUAAAUCCCCGGCCGACUUGAUGUCGAUGUUGUCAAAACCACUGCCGAUCCGGACGAUGAUGCGCAGGGCUUUGAACUUCUCCAGGUCCUCCCUGUUUCCAAGACAAAUCCUAGACCAGAACGGCUACAGUGAAUGUGGACCCGCACACAGCAGCCUGACCAUGGUGCCUCCACUUAGCCAGCACCAGGAGCCGCUGUGGUCAUGGCCAACCCCACCCUGCCAAAGUCUCCCAGGUACCCCCAGCCCAGAGGGGACCCCAAGGAGGGUAUGGGCAGUGUGGGGUGCAGAGGCACACGGGUGGAGGAAGUGCCAGGCAGAAGAAUCAGGAGUGGCACUGGGCAUGAGGCAGAGGAGGGUGUGGACCACCUACACAUGCACCCACGCCCAGAAAUACCCACCUGCACAAGUCCAUCCCACACACCCGUACCCAUGUAUGACAACGCCCACAUGGUGCAGACGCUGUAGAAAUAGCCAUGGUUGGUGGCUGAGGAUACCAGGAUGCACAGACUUCAUCCAUGUGGGCAUGUCCGAGUCUGGGAGACACCACUGCACCUCCCAUGAGGACAUGACUCCCACCUACCACCUGUCCAGUGGGGCCACAGGGCCUCCUGAUGGAUCAACAGCGCAAGCUCAGCCCAGAGGUUGCCAGGGGCCUGGGUGGCAUCCUUCCCUCCCUCCCUGCCAUGCCGAGCCGAGCCUGCGGCCCCCUGGCGGCAGUGCCUGGGUUAAUGGACUGCAAGGUUUCCUGUGGGAGCUGACCCUGCCUGGGGUUGGGCAGAACAGCUGGUGUUGGGCCAGCACACACGGGUGGGGUGAGGGCAGUCCCAGCAAGACCCCUUCUCCUAUAGUGCCCAGACUUCCAGCCCAGCCAGAACAGAUGACUGCCUUUGAGGCUGGCACAGCCUCCCUUCUGGGCAACAGGGCAGGGGAGCCCCGGGCUGGCCUGAGUGUUCUGUGGGAGGAAGGGAAGGUCAGAGCGUCUCGACUGCAGGAGGCAGGGAAGCAUCUGCACAGACCACGGAGGAAUGGGCAUGGCACUCAUCAGUUCACAGACAGGGUUGACAGCUGGCCCUCGGCUCCUGCGAGGGCUUCGAGGCUGUAUGGGUGCAGACCCCUGGUACACCACACUUGACCAGUAGUGUGGACCCGGCGAGGCCAUGGAGGACAGCACAGGCAGAGGCCAGCAGUGGGUGGCUGGUACCUGGCUGUACGUGGAGGCACCAGGAAGACCCUGUGCUGCCUGCACUGGAGAUGGGCGGUCACACACCACGGAGGCCACCUCAGGCAGCUUGGCAGAGCAGCCUCAGCUGAGGGGGAGUCGCCUGCAGGUGAAGCUUCGUCAGCACCCACUGUGGGUAGGAAGGGCUGCACAUGCGAGUGGCAGACAGUGGCGUGUGGGAGAUGGGCCCUGGGGUCAGGAAGGCCUGGCACCAGUCAUCAGCCCCGGGGGGGGCAGCCUGGGCAGCUGGACGUACAGGGACCCCUCCCACAGUGUGUGUGCAGAGGCUGUGUGAACAGGCUGGGAAGACCCGCGGUGCACAGGACAGGCAUGUGUGUACACAGGCACCAGCUGCUUUCGCCCUGAGCACUCAGCCCAGGGGGCGGGGGACAGCCUGGGCAGCUGGACGUACAGGGACCCCUCCCACAGUGUGUGUGCAGAGGCUGUGUGAACAGGCUGGGAAGACCCGCGGUGCACAGGACAGGCGUGUGUGUACACAGGCACCAGCCGCUUUCGCCCUGAGCACAUCAGCCCAGGGGGCGGGGGACAGCCUGGGCAGCUGGAUGUACAGGGACCCCUCCCACAGUGUGUGUGCAGAGGCUGUGUGAACAGGCUGGGAAGACCCGCGGUGCACAGGACAGGCGUGUGUGUACACAGGCACCAGCCGCUUUCGCCCUGAGCACUCAGCCCAGGGGGCGGGGGACAGCCUGGGCAGCUGGAUGUACAGGGACCCCUCCCACAGUGUGUGUGCAGAGGCUGUGUGAACAGGCUGGGAAGACCCGCGGUGCACAGGACAGGCGUGUGUGUACACAGGCACCAGCCGCUUUCGCCCUGGGCACUCAGCCCCGGGCUUGGAAAAGUCGAUUCUAACUGCAGCACGUCACCUCCCGCAUAAUCAGAUGAGACUCCUGUG
rnacentral:lncRNA from 13 species